rnacentral:piRNA from 1 species
CCUAAGGAGGGGUGAACCGGCCC